GCUGCUCCCGAGCGAUUCAGGAAACCGAACCAUCCCCUUUCGGCAUUUUCCGCGUAACCUCCUAGCUGAAACCGAAUUCCCUACCAUCUCUGAUCUUUUCUUCUUGCUCCUUCGUUGUUGUUCGACUUUGCUCCUUCAACGACGUUCCCUCCCUGUCACGAAACUUUAGGGUUUAUCGGAAGCAACAAUGGUAGAUCGCUCGCUCAGAAGGUAACUUUCUUCGUUUCUUUGUCUAUUCAUUCCGCAUUGAGAUUUAUGGGCACAAAUCUUGUUUGCCAGGAUUUUGCAAAAAUCUUGCUCGAAUCCUGCAUAAAUCCUGUUGCUAAACAUUCCCUAGUGAUUUUUCUUGUCGCAGAUGCAUACGCGGACAAUCUAACAUUCUCCUAAUCUUGUUAAUCCAGGUUCUUUUGCUCUUGGAAUUCUCGCGCUUGGUAGCUCGUUCAGAAGAGGCGUUCUUCUUUCUAUUUGAAGUGGUUCAACUAAUUUCUUCCGAUCAUCAACAACGUCAAGCUUCUUCCAUUGUUUCAGAUAAAAUUGAAGAAUAAGAAAAACUUGUUGAAGUAGAUGAAUUUCCAGAAAAAGAAUAUGCUCUACUGCAAAUAACUGAGAUGAGAAUAAAAUCCAGAGAGAGAAAUUAACAUGUAUUUGCAGCCUAGUUUUCACUACAUCAAAGGGAGUUGUAAAAAGAGCAGCAGUAGAUCCAGCAAGACCUCCACAAACAUGCUUCUUAGAUGAAUCAAAAUAGGAAUAAAUAUGAGAAAACAAUGUACCAUGCAUGCACGUACAUACUUCUCAGAACCAGAAAGACCUCCACAAUGCUACUAGUGCUAGUUCACAAUGAAUACACAAAUGAAUAAUAAAUUUGUCAAUUUUGGUCACUGGAAAAAGAGCUAUAGAACCAACAAGCUAAUAAAAAAAGGCGAUGCUAAAACUGACAGAAAUGGAAUGCAGAAGAGACGAACAGGGAAGCAAGACAGAGCAGGUAAAAGAAAGAUAGAAUAUUAUUGAUUGAUUACAAUAUGAGGUGUACAGGAGAGGGUUCUUUAUAUAAAGAAAUAUAAUGGCAAACAUGUAAUAAAAUGAAUAUAAGAAACUGUUCGUUUACAAAAAAACUACAGAUGGUAAUUCAUCGAGGAACAUGGACCUUGUUCGUUUUUUUGUGAUAUAAGUAAGAUUUUUUGAAAUUCUU